GAUGAAGAACGCAGCGAAAUGCGAUAAGUAAUGUGAAUUGCAGAAUUCAGUGAAUCAUCGAAUCUUUGAACGCACAUUGCGCCCGCCAGUAUUCUGGCGGGCAUGCCUGUUCGAGCGUCAUUUCAACCAUCAAGCCCCCGGCUUGUGUUGGGGACCUGCGGCUGCCGCAGGCCCUGAAAAGCAGUGGCGGGCUCGCUGUCACACCGAGCGUAGUAGCAUACAUCUCGCUCUGGGCGUGCUGCGGGUUCCGGCCGUUACACCACCUUCAUAACACAAGGUUGACCUCGGAUCAGGUAGGAAGACCCGCUGAACUUAAGCAUAUCAAUAAGCGGAGGA
rnacentral:misc_RNA from 1 species